UACAGGGGGGGCAAGCGUUGUUCGGAAUUACUGGGCGUAAAGGGCUCGUAGGUGGCCAACUAAGUCAGACGUGAAAUCCCUCGGCUUAACCGGGGAACUGCGUCUGAUACUGGAUGGCUUGAGUUUGGGAGAGGGAUGCGGAAUUCCAGGUGUAGCGAUGAAAUGCGUAGAUAUCUGGAGGAACACCAAUGGCGAAGGCAGCUCGCUGGAACGGUACUGACGCUGAGGCGCGAAAGCGUGGGGAGCGAACAGG
rnacentral:rRNA from 1 species